rnacentral:rRNA from 1 species
AACGAACGCUGGCGGCAUGCCUAACACAUGCAAGUCGAACGAGACCUUCGGGUCUAGUGGCGCACGGGUGCGUAACGCGUGGGAAUCUGCCCUUGGGUUCGGAAUAACAGUUAGAAAUGACUGCUAAUACCGGAUAAUGUCUUCGGACCAAAGAUUUAUCGCCCAGGGAUGAGCCCGCGUAGGAUUAGCUAGUUGGUGAGGUAAAGGCUCACCAAGGCGACGAUCCUUAGCUGGUCUGAGAGGAUGAUCAGCCACACUGGGACUGAGACACGGCCCAGACUCCUACGGGAGGCAGCAGUGGGGAAUAUUGGACAAUGGGCGAAAGCCUGAUCCAGCAAUGCCGCGUGAGUGAUGAAGGCCUUCGGGUUGUAAAACUCUUUCGCGCACGACGAUAAUGACGGUAGUGCGAGAAGAAGCUCCGGCUAACUUCGUGCCAGCAGCCGCGGUAAU